rnacentral:tRNA from 1 species
ACAAAGACAAGCAUGCAAGCGACCACGGUUUCGGCCCGUGCCAAGGGUCUACGACCCUCUUUGUU